rnacentral:rRNA from 1 species
GACGUAGGGUGCGAGCGUUGUCCGGAUUUAUUGGGCGUAAAGAGCUCGUAGGCGGCUUGUCGCGUCGACCGUGAAAACUUGGGGCUCAACCCCAAGCCUGCGGUCGAUACGGGCAGGCUAGAGUUCGGUAGGGGAGACUGGAAUUCAUGGUGUAGCAGUGAAAUGCGUAGAGAUCAUGAGGAAGACCAGUGGCGAAGGCGGGUCUCUGGACAGUUCCUGACACUGAGACACGAAGGCCAGGGGAGCAAACGGG